rnacentral:rRNA from 1 species
GACGAACGCUGGCGGCGUGCCUAAUACAUGCAAGUCGAGCGCAGGAAGCCGUCUGAACCCUUCGGGGGGACGACGGUGGAAUGAGCGGCGGACGGGUGAGUAACACGUAAAGAACCUGCCCAUAGGUCUGGGAUAACCACGAGAAAUCGGGGCUAAUACCGGAUGUGUCAUCGGACCGCAUGGUCCGCUGAUGAAAGGCGCUCCGGCGUCGCCCAUGGAUGGCUUUGCGGUGCAUUAGCUAGUUGGUGGGGUAACGGCCCACCAAGGCGACGAUGCAUAGCCGACCUGAGAGGGUGAGCGGCGACACUGGGACUGAGACACGGCCCAGACUCCUACGGGAGGCAGCAGUAGGGAAUCUUCCACAAUGGACGAAAGUCUGAUGGAGCAACGCCGCGUGAACGAUGAAGGCUUUCGGGUCGUAAAGUUCUGUUGUAAGGGAAGAACAAGUGCCGCAGGCAAUGGCGGCACCUUGACGGUACCUUGCGAGAAAGCCACGGCUAACUACGUGCCAGCCGCCGCGGUAACAC